rnacentral:snRNA from 1 species
GACAUUUGGGUUGAUUCCAAGUCUUCGGCUAAAAUUGGAACGAUACAGAGAAGAUUAGCAUGGCCCUUGCGCAAGGAUGACACGCAAAUUCGUGAAGCGUUCCAUAUUUUG